UACGGGGGGGGCAAGCGUUGUUCGGAAUUACUGGGCGUAAAGGGCGCGUAGGCGGCCGCCUAAGUCAGACGUGAAAUCCCUCGGCUCAACCGGGGAACUGCGUCUGAUACUGGGUGGCUUGAAUUCGGGAGAGGGAUGCGGAAUUCCAGGUGUAGCGGUGAAAUGCGUAGAUAUCUGGAGGAACACCGGUGGCGAAGGCAGCCUCCUGGGCCAGCACUGACGCUCAUGCACGAAAGCGUGGGGAGCAAACAGG
rnacentral:rRNA from 1 species